UACGUAGGGUGCGAGCGUUAAUCGGAAUUACUGGGCGUAAAGCGUGCGCAGGCGGUUUUGUAAGCCGGAUGUGAAAUCCCCGGGCUUAACCUGGGAAUGGCAUUCGGGACUGCAAGGCUGGAGUGCGGCAGAGGAGACUGGAAUUCCUGGUGUAGCAGUGAAAUGCGUAGAUAUGCGGAGGAACACCGAUGGCGAAGGCAGUCCCCUGGGCCUGUACUGACGCUCAUGCACGAAAGCGUGGGGAGCAAACAGG
rnacentral:rRNA from 1 species